UUUACAUGACUUGCUUGUUUGUUUAUUGGGCAGGUUGGUGUAAUAUUUCCUCAUUUUUUUUUUAAUGGAGCUAUAACAUAUAUGGUCUUUACCUAACUUUGCUCAAGCAUUCAUGUUUGAAAAGGCAAUGCAUUUUUUCAUUUACAUUAGGUUUUUCUAUGCUAUGAAUAUUGUUUCUACUUAGUUGAAAAAAAAAAAAUUGGAAUAUUGCUUCUACUCUUUUCUUUUUUCCCUUUUCUUGGUGGAUAAGAUGUUUACAUAUUUAAGAAUUGAGUUGAUUCUGGAUGAUAUGGAUUCUGUAUGUCUUGCUGUAAAAAUAACAAAUCAGUCGCUUGCUGAGGAGAAGCAAGCUGGUCACAAUAUCCAUUUGCAGUUUGUCUAAUUGCUUGCAGGGGAAGGGACUAUUAAAUUUUGGAUUUGUUGUUCCUGAUUUCAUUUGGUUGAACAUCAUAAUAUGCAGUUCUUGGACAUGAGCUCUCUGCAAGCUGCACUUCCAAAUUCAGAGUUGCCAUCCCCCUUCCUUGGUGGUGCAACUCAAUCAUGGUUUCCUCAAAAUCCAGUGAGUCCUUUUGUCCAGGCAGCAGCCCAAGGUAAAUGUUCUGCGACUGUUGCGAUGGAAAUUUGACAGUAACAUUUAGAACUGUUGUUAUUAGAACUGUGUUUGCUAAUGGUAGUUUACACAGCAUAUUAUUGGAUAAUGUGAGACUGUGUAGACAUCUUAAUAUCUUCAACAAGUCUUUUUGCAUUUGUCUUCCCAAUGAUUUUUUUUUAUGGUUUUUUUUCUGUAGGUGGCUUAGCGUACAUGUCAGGACAAUCACCAUCAGCACAAUUAGCGUAAGUCACUUUGCUGCUCUUGUUAUGCUUUUGCAGGUUGUUGCAACCAAUUUUUCUCACCUUCAUUUGCAUCAGCAUUCUAAAAACGCUAUUCAUAAUCCUUAUGCUCAAAAUGCACAACAGUAGAGUCAUGAGUAACCGGUUCUUCUUCUUCAUCUUCUCUCUAGCUCAACAUUUUGCUAGACAAGGAACCUCUAUCACUUGAUGUUUAUGCAAUUGCCACAAAACAUUAAAUCUAUUUUUGCAUUAUGACAUAAAACAUGCCAUGCAACUGUUUCUUAAAACUGAAAUAUUUUGUUUUCCCUUCUUUUUAUUGCAGGAAUAUUCCUACACAAGAACCUGUUGCUUCAGUUGGAGGAAAUCCUUUCGCAUAAUAUUUUCCUGGCAGGAAUGCUGUUUUCGUACUUCUCUGUCAGGUAGUUGGAGUUUCCUAGUGACUAAUUGUAGUGUCUUUCUGUAUCCCAGAAUGAAAAAAGUUAUUUAUAUUAUUAUUUUUGUAUUCUUUGCCAAAAUAAAAUCUUGAUGUGAAUAACUUCCCACUAAAUUUUCAAGUACAUCAUAUAUGUAUGUAUUUGUUUUAUGUCAUUUGAACUGGUGGUAUGCUAGCUAAUGUAGCUACAGGGGUUGAAUUCGUAAGGUCCUUUCGAUUGGACCCACGAUGUGAAUACAUUUCUGGUCAUUAUUGUCAUUAUUAUUAUUACAUUUCAACCAGUCCACUAGGUUUUUGGAAGAAUCAAAUGGAUAAUGCUUAAUGGACUGCGAGUUUCAGUUCUGCUACUAGGCUGGUUUUGAUAUUCUUUAGAAAUAUGUGGGAUGAUAAGCCUGAAUUGGUUGUAAUAAAGUUUAUCCAUUGCUUUUGAACAGUCAUGGAAUGCUUUUGAUGAUUUCACCAGCCAUCUUCCCUCGGAGGGUUUUAAGCCAAAUAGUGAACCCCAUGUAGAUGCGUACAUGCCUUCACCAACUCCAGAUCAGUAUUUGGCAAUAGUUUCCCAGGUUGCUGCAUCAACAACAUGAUUUUUUUGAAGGCCUCUGUUGUCUCUGAGUUUUCUGCCCCCCACUUUUUUUUUUGUAAUUGGUUUUCCAUCAAUUACUUUUCCUCAAUUUAUUCUUGCUUUGUUGUUAGCAUGAGACUAAUGAUGAUGGAAAUCCGAGAGUUGCCUCCCAUGAUGGACCCCCCAACAUGACGGUACCAUCUCAGGCUGACAUGGGCCCAUCUUAUAACCCAUCAAUGUUUCCUCUAAUGGUUUGUGUUAAAUUUUUCUGUAUGUUUUAGCUUCUUUAUUCUUGCUGAAUUAUCGUGCAUGUGUCUAAUCUUGCAUUUUUAUUUUGGGUCUAGGGACAGAUGCGGACACAUGCAACUGAACAUAAGUCAACAAAUCCAUUUGAUUUUCCUUGUGAUUCUGAUUUGGAGCAGAAUAAUAUGGUAUGGCCUAGAUUUUUAAUUUGUUAACAAAAUAUUGACACUGCGGUAGUAGCACUCCCCAAUAAUUUAACGUAAUUUGUUCUGGAAGUGAUCUUUCUUCUUUAGUUCUUAGUCAUGUUGCCAUCUCUCUGUAAGUAUUGCUUCUUAUACUUGUAUAAUAAAAAAUUGAUGAUUAUAUAUCUACUUAAAGCAAUGGCAUCAUUAAUUUACAUGACUUGCUUGUUUGUUUAUUGGGCAGGUUGGUGUAAUAUUUCCUCAUUUUUUUUUUAAUGGAGCUAUAACAUAUAUGGUCUUUACCUAACUUUGCUCAAGCAUUCAUGUUUGAAAAGGCAAUGCAUUUUUUCAUUUACAUUAGGUUUUUCUAUGCUAUGAAUAUUGUUUCUACUUAGUUGAAAAAAAAAAAAUUGGAAUAUUGCUUCUACUCUUUUCUUUUUUCCCUUUUCUUGGUGGAUAAGAUGUUUACAUAUUUAAGAAUUGAGUUGAUUCUGGAUGAUAUGGAUUCUGUAUGUCUUGCUGUAAAAAUAACAAAUCAGUCGCUUGCUGAGGAGAAGCAAGCUGGUCACAAUAUCCAUUUGCAGUUUGUCUAAUUGCUUGCAGGGGAAGGGACUAUUAAAUUUUGGAUUUGUU
rnacentral:lncRNA from 1 species